GAUGAACGCUGGCGGCGUGCCUAAUACAUGCAAGUCGAGCGAAUGGAUUGAGAGCUUGCUCUUAUGAAGUUAGCGGCGGACGGGUGAGUAACACGUGGGUAACCUGCCCAUAUGACUGGGAUAACUCCGGGAAACCGGGGCUAAUACCGGAUAACAUUUUGAACCGCAUGGUUCGAAAUUGAAAGGCGGCUUCGGCUGUCACUUAUGGAUGGACCCGCGUCGCAUUAGCUAGUUGGUGAGGUAACGGCUCACCAAGGCAACGAUGCGUAGCCGACCUGGGAGGGUGAUCGGCCACACUGGAACUGAGACACGGCCCAGACUCCUACGGGAGGCAGCAGUAGGGAAUCUUACGCAAUGGACGAAAGUCUGACGGAGCAACGCCGCGUGAGUGAUGAGGGCUUUCGGGUCGUAAAACUCUGUUGUUGGGAAGAACAAGUGCUAGUUGAAUAAGCUGGCACCUUGACGGUACCUAACCAGAAAGCCACGGCUAACUACGUGCCAGCCGCCGCCGUAA
rnacentral:rRNA from 1 species